rnacentral:rRNA from 1 species
CGAGUAGAAUGUCCGUAAANGNAGGAUCGUCUANUCCNUCUCAGCAGCUUCGNAAUCGGGUGGAUCCAAUCGUGANNGUAUAAUUNGGUUUAAAGUGUGCGUAGUGGGCGUGUUAAGUUCGGGUNGAAAGACGGUGGCUCAUCCAUCGCAGUGCCCUUGAUGCUGAUGUGCUUGAAUAGACUAGAGGUAGGCGGAAUGUGACAAGUAGCGGUGAAAUGCAUAGAUAUGUCGCAGACCACCGAUUGCGAAGGCAGUUUACUAUGGUCUGAUUGACGUUGAGGCACGAAAUCGUGGGGAUCGAACAGGAUUAGAUCCCUUGGUAGUCCACGCCAUAAACGAUGAACACUCGCUGUUGGUGAUAAUCGGUCAGCGUCUAAGCGAAAGCGUUAAGUGUUCCUCAUGGGGAGUACGCCCGCAAGGGUGAAACUCAAAGGAAUUGACGGGGGCCCGCACAAGCGGAGGAGCAUGUGGUUUAAUUCGAUGAUACGCGAGGACCCUUACCCGGGCUUGAAAGUUAGUGAAGUAUCCAGAGAUGGAUGCGCCCUUCGGGGCACGAAACUAGGUGCUGCAUGGCUGUCGUCAGUUCGUGCCGUGAGGUGUUGGGUUAAGUCCCGCAACGAGCGCAACCCCUAUGAAUAGUUGCCAGCAUGUACCGGUGGGGACUCUAUUCAGACUCCCUGUCCAACCAGAGAGGAAGGAGGGGACGACGUCAAGUCAUCAUGGCCCUUACGUCCGGGGCUACACACGUGCUACAAUGGACGGUACAGAGGGCAGCUAUCCGGCAACGGAAUGCCAAUCUCAAAAAGCCGUUCACAGUUCGGAUCGGGGUCUGCAACUCGACCCCGUGAAGUUGGAUUCGCUAGUAAUCGCGUAUCAGCAAUGACGCGGUGAAUACGUUCCCGGCCCUUGUACACACCGCCCGUCAAGCCAUG